rnacentral:rRNA from 1 species
ACGAACGCUGGCGGCGUGCCUAAUACAUGCAAGUCGAACGGUCUUUCUAUGGAAGCUUGCUUCCACUGAGAAGAUAGUGGCGAACGGGUGAGUAACACGUGGGUAACCUGCCCAUAAGAGGGGGAUAACAUCCGGAAACGGGUGCUAAUACCGCAUAGUCUUCUUGAUCGCAUGAUUGAGAAAGGAAAGAUGGCCUCUGUGCUGUCGCUUAUGGAUGGACCCGCGGCGUAUUAGUUAGUUGGUGAGGUAACGGCUCACCAAGACGAUGAUACGUAGCCGACCUGAGAGGGUGAUCGGCCACAUUGGGACUGAGACACGGCCCAAACUCCUACGGGAGGCAGCAGUAGGGAAUCUUCCGCAAUGGACGAAGUCUGACGGAGCAACGCCGCGUGAGUGAAGAAGGGUUUUUCCGGAUCGUAAAACUCUGUUGUCAGAGAAGAACAAGUUGGAGAGUAACUGCUCCAGCCUUGACGGUAUCUGACCAGAAAGCCACGGCUAACUACGUGCCAGCAGCCGC